rnacentral:rRNA from 1 species
AGAGUUUGAUCCUGGCUCAGAUUGAACGCUGGCGGCAUGCUUUACACAUGCAAGUCGAACGGCAGCACGGACUUCGGUCUGGUGGCGAGUGGCGAACGGGUGAGUAAUACAUCGGAACGUGCCUAGUAGUGGGGGAUAACUACUCGAAAGAGUAGCUAAUACCGCAUGAGAUCUACGGAUGAAAGCAGGGGACCUUCGGGCCUUGUGCUACUAGAGCGGCUGAUGGCAGAUUAGGUAGUUGGUGGGAUAAAAGCUUACCAAGCCUGUGAUCUGUAGCUGGUCUGAGAGGACGACCAGCCACACUGGGACUGAGACACGGCCCAGACUCCUACGGGAGGCAGCAGUGGGGAAUUUUGGACAAUGGGCGAAAGCCUGAUCCAGCAAUGCCGCGUGCAGGAUGAAGGCCCUCGGGUUGUAAACUGCUUUUGUACGGAACGAAAAGCCUGAGGCUAAUAUCCUCGGGUCAUGACGGUACCGUAAGAAUAAGCACCGGCUAACUACGUGCCAGCAGCCGCGGUAAUACGUAGGGCGCAAGCGUUAAUCGGAAUCACUGGGCGUAAAGGGUGCGUAGGCGGCUUGGUAAGUCAGAUGUGAAAGCUCAGGGCUCAACCCUGAAAUUGCAUCCGAUACUGCCAGGCUAGAGAACUGGAGAGGUGUCUAGAAUUCUCGGUGUAGCAGUGAAAUGCGUAGAUAUCGAGAGGAAUACCAAUGGCGAAGGCAGGACACUGGACAGUAUCUGACGCUGAGGCACGAAGGCUAGGGUAGCGAACGGGAUUAGAUACCCCGGUAGUCCUAGCAGUAAACGGUGCACGUUUGGUGUGGGGGGAUUCGACCCCUUCCGCGCCGGAGCUAACGCGUUAAGCGUGCCGCCUGGGAAGUACGAUCGCAAGAUUAAAACUCAAAGAAAUUGACGGGGACCCGCACAAGCGGUGGAGUAUGUGGCUUAAUUCGAUGCAACGCGAAGAACCUUACCUGGUCUUGACAUGCACUGUGUCUCCGGUGAAAGCCGGAUAGUGUAGCAAUACACGCUUUGCACAGGUGCUGCAUGGCUGUCGUCAGCUCGUGUCGUGAGAUGUUGGGUUAAGUCCCGCAACGAGCGCAACCCCUGUGAUUUGUUGCCAUCGGGUAAUGCCGGGCACUCGAAUCAGACUGCCUAGAUCAACUAGGAGGAAGGUGGGGACGGCGUCAAGUCCGUAUGGCCCUUACGACCAGGGCUGCACACGUACUACAAUGCUCAGUACAAUGUGAACCGAUACCGCGAGGUGGAGGAAAUCUAUAAAACUGGGCUCAGUUCAGAUUGCAGGCUGCAACUCGCCUGCAUGAAGUUGGAAUCGCUAGUAAUGGCGCAUCAGCUACGGCGCCGUGAAUACGUUCCCGGGUCUUGUACACACCGCCCGUCACAUCAUGGAAGCUGGUUUCGCCCGAAGUGCCUGCGCCAACCGUAAGGAGGCAGGGCCCUAAGGCAAGACUGGUAACUGGGAUGAAGUCGUAACAAGGUAACC